GACGAACGCUGGCGGCGCGCCUAACACAUGCAAGUCGAACGAGCGAGAGAGAGCUUGCUUUCUCGAGCGAGUGGCGAACGGGUGAGUAACGCGUGAGGAACCUGCCUCAAAGAGGGGGACAACAGUUGGAAACGACUGCUAAUACCGCAUAAGCCCACGGCUCGGCAUCGAGCAGGGGGAAAAGGAGCAAUCCGCUUUGAGAUGGCCUCGCGUCCGAUUAGCUAGUUGGUGAGGUAAUGGCCCACCAAGGCGACGAUCGGUAGCCGGACUGAGAGGUUGAACGGCCACAUUGGGACUGAGACACGGCCCAGACUCCUACGGGAGGCAGCAGUGGGGAAUAUUGCACAAUGGGGGAAACCCUGAUGCAGCGACGCCGCGUGGAGGAAGAAGGUCUUCGGAUUGUAAACUCCUGUUGUUGGGGAAGAUAAUGACGGUACC
rnacentral:rRNA from 1 species